AGCUCAGUUUUCCAGCCCCUUUCCACCGAGAUGGAGGCUAAUUUUGUUCUCUCACAGAAGGUAGUUUGAGCAGUGUGACUGAUAACUCUAACUGAUUAGUUUUCAGUGGAAGUUCUGUGUGUGACCUGCUGAAAACAGUUUACAGGACGAAUUUCUAGUGUGUGCGAUGAGUAAGGUAUAGUGAACAGCUCUAUACUCCAAAGUAGAAUAGUAAUUGUAGGAUGUUUUGUCAUAUUAUUUAAGAAUUGUAAAAUAUAUGUUUCUUCUGCUGACUGAAACAACAGCUGAAGUACAUAUUACAAACAACUUUACGCUCGUAUUUAGAAAUUGUACACCGCAAAAAUGUCCAUUGGUCUAAAUUUUUUCUCCAUAAUACAGCACUUUCAUCUCAACUACCGCUUCUAACAAGU